rnacentral:rRNA from 1 species
AUGAAGCUGGAAUUGCUAGUAAUGGCAGGUCAGCAUACUGCCGUGAAUACGUUCCCGGGCCUUGUACACACCGCCCGUCACACCAUGGGAGUUGGGAAUACCCGAAGCCUGUGAGCUAACUUUUAGAGGCAGCAGUCGAAGGUAGAAUCAAUGAUUGGGGUGAAGUCGUAACAAGGUAGC